NAAGUACUCCCUCCGUCCCAAAAUUCUUGUCUUAGAUUUGUCUAGAUACGGAUGUAUCAAGUCACAUUUUAGUAUUAGAUACAUCCGUAUCUAGACAAAUCUAAGACAAGAAAUUUGGGACAGAGGGAGUAGUUG
rfam:Triticum aestivum genome assembly, contig: Triticum_aestivum_CS42_TGACv1_scaffold_591964_7BS